GGCGAACGCUGGCGGCAGGCUUAACACAUGCAAGUCGAGCGCCCCGCAAGGGGAGCGGCAGACGGGAGAGUAACACGUGGGAACAUACCUUUUGGUUCGGAACAACUGAGGGAAACUUCAGCUAAUACCGGAUAAACCCUUACGGGGAAAGAUUUAUCGCCGAAAGAUUGGCCCGCGUCUGAUUAGCUAGUUGGUGAGGUAACGGCUCACCAAGGCGACGAUCAGUAGCUGGUCUGAGAGGGUGAGCAGCCUCACUGGGACUGAGACACGGCCCAGAAUCCUACGGGAGGCAGCAGUGGGGAAUAUUGGACAAUGGGCGCAAGCCUGAUCCAGCCAUGCCGCGUGAGUGAUGAAGGCCUUAGGGUUGUAAAGCUCUUUUAACGGGGAAGAUAAUGACGGUACCCGUAGAAUAAGCCCCGGCUAACUUCGUGCCAGCAGCCGCCGUAA
rnacentral:rRNA from 1 species